AGAGUUUGAUCCUGGCUCAGAUUGAACGCUGGCGGCAUGCCUUACACAUGCAAGUCGAACGGCAGCACGGGAGCAAUCCUGGUGGCGAGUGGCGAACGGGUGAGUAAUACAUCGGAACGUGCCCAGUGAUGGGGGAUAGCCCGGCGAAAGCCGGAUUAAUACCGCAUACGACCUACGGGUGAAAGCGGGGGAUCGCAAGACCUCGCGUCAUUGGAGCGGCCGAUGUCAGAUUAGCUAGUUGGUGGGGUAAAAGCCUACCAAGGCGACGAUCUGUAGCUGGUCUGAGAGGACGACCAGCCACACUGGGACUGAGACACGGCCCAGACUCCUACGGGAGGCAGCAGUGGGGAAUUUUGGACAAUGGGGGCAACCCUGAUCCAGCCAUGCCGCGUGCGGGAAGAAGGCCUUCGGGUUGUAAACCGCUUUUGUCAGGGAAGAAACGGCUUGACCUAAUACGUCGAGCUAAUGACGGUACCUGAAGAAUAAGCACCGGCUAACUACGUGCCAGCAGCCGCGGUAAUACGUAGGGUGCAAGCGUUAAUCGGAAUUACUGGGCGUAAAGCGUGCGCAGGCGGCUUUGCAAGACAGAUGUGAAAUCCCCGGGCUCNNCCUGGGAACUGCAUUUGUGACUGCAAAGCUAGAGUACGGCAGAGGGGGAUGGAAUUCCGCGUGUAGCAGUGAAAUGCGUAGA
rnacentral:rRNA from 1 species